rnacentral:rRNA from 1 species
UUGAUGUAUUCAUGGAGGUGGGGGGGUGGUGACGAAUAAGCAUCCCCGGCACUCGUAUAAAAAAGAAAGGAAGAAGUGCAGACUUUCCUGUGCAGUGGGUUUUUUCCCCUCUCUCUUCUGCCCGACAGUUACCAGAUCCUAGAUCUAUAGUCGGCAUCUUCUAAGAGGGACUACGUAAAGCAAAUACAUGCAAGUCUGAGGCAAUAACAGGUCAGUGAUGCCAUUAUAUGUCAAGGCUGCACGAAGAGCUACACUGACGUAUACAACAAGUGCCUAGUCAGACAUGGCAAGGCAAUCUAGUAUAUGCAUCGUGAUGGGGAUAGAUCUUGCAAUUAUAGAUCAUGAACGAGGAAUUCUUAGUAAGUGCAAGUCAUCAUAAGCAUAGAAUAUGUCCCUCCCCGAAGUACACACCGCCUGUCGCUCCUAACGAUACCGGGUGAUCCGGUGAACAUUUGGACCCCAAGCGGAAGAUAAGUAAACCAUAUCACCAGAGGAAGGAGAUCC